GCAAGGCCUUCCGCGGUCGCUUGGAGGGUGUCAUAGCAGCUGAUGGCGUUUAUAUUCAGUCAUACGAAUUUUAUUACACAUUUAAUUAUUUGCCACAAAUAGUCCACGCAUGAAAUCGUCGGUUGAUAUCCCAGCCCAGGAUUUUGUUACGUGCCUACACGACUAACAAACGUUACAAUCUGUGUUUUUUUUGUCAAUUUGGCACACAAGAUAACCCUUGGGCCGAUAUAUUAUCCCUGUCUAUAGUGGCGUCUCUGAUGAUGAUACAUGAUUUGACGGUGGGUUUGAUUUUUGAACGAAUCUUUUUAGUGAACUGAUUCAAGUGACUCAGCUCACUAAAAGGAAUCAAAACUCCCAGCACAUGAGACAUUCGAAAAUAUUCAGUACAUUGUAUAGAACAUUUUCACUUGACGUCACAAUUUUGAUGUCGUCCAUUUUGGAGCCUCAACAACCAAGUUUUAUAACAAUGAUUAAGGGAAAUAGUCAACUAUGGGACAUCAUAGAGGGACCAACAAUAGAAGGACUUUAACCUCACUGUCUAUAAAAAUUUCAUCCCUCAAUUGCCUUGUCUUUAUUUUAUGUAUGACACUAAAAUAUAUGAAAAAUAUGUUAUAA
rnacentral:lncRNA from 1 species